rnacentral:lncRNA from 1 species
GUGUAAUUUCAAUAUGUUCACUUUACUAAUUUGUUUUAUAUUGUGAUGACAAUGUGUUAAUUUUGCUCAAUUGUUCAUAUUGUCAUGACAAUGUGUUUACUCUGUUCAAUUGUACAUAUCAUCAUGCCGAUGUAUUUAACAGAAAAUCUGCGAUCGUCUUGGAAUAGAACAAGGCAAAGUUGUUACCAAACUAUUUAGCAACGGUGAAUGCAGGUGAUUAUGAGCGAUUUUAUCAUUAUUUUGUAUCCAUGCCCAUGGGGCACCAACAGGCUAUUUGACCUGAAUAGUGACAUUGUUUAAUUAACUCAAUUAUCCAUAUCGUCUUAUCAACAUAUUAAUUGUGCUUAAUUGUUUAUAUUGCCAUUACAUACAUGUUUACGUACGCAAUCAUUUAUAUUAUUAUGUUGAUGUUUUUACUUUUCUCAAUUAUUCAUAUUGUUCUGCUAUAAGGAUGUUCUUACCUCAGGAAUAGAUUACAUUAGCCGUAUUUGAAAUAUUUUUUUGUUUUUUUGGGUCCUCAAUGCUAUUCAACUUUGUACUUUUUGGCUUUAUAACUAUUUUGAUCUGAGCGUCACUGGCGAGUCUUAUCUAGACGAAAUGCGCGUCUGGCAUAUUAAAUCAUAACCCUGGUACCUUUGAUUAACUAUUUACCUAACACAUAAUUUCAUUUUGCAAUGUUUUACUGCAAUAAAAUGUAGGAGUUAAUACCUACAACUGUCAAAUUUAAGAAAUAUUUUUGUUCUAUUCUUUUUCGUAUGCAACGAUAUGUGACGUACUGUGAUUUGGUGGUAUAACACAUUAAUUUCACUAAAAUAUUUCAUGUACAACGAGAGUUCAUUCAUGCAUAGCAUUUUAUUAUGUAUGGAAAGCCAUAUACUAUAUAAACAAAAAAUAGAAGGGAAUAUGUUGGUUUGUCAUUAGGAGGAGAAGGGCUGAGUAUGCUUUUAGUAACGAAUAGCUAAUGUGAAAUGUUGGUUAUUUAAACCGAGCACUCAUUUCUGUAGUUUACCUUAAUAUUGUAUAUCCAAAUUAAAACACAUUCUUUCACAUCAUUUUUUUAAUUUUUCCAACUAAGGAUAGUCUGCCCCGAGGAGAGAUUGAAUAAUACUUUUGGUCAAGAAUGUUCUUCACCUUCACCAUAGAAACUUGCGCGAAUAACAAAAUAAACCAAAUGACUUCAAUUGUUUUAGUUCACAGUGCACUUCUUAUCAAUAGAUUAAUUGUCCUUAAUUCGAUACAUUAAAGAAACAAUCAACAUAUAUUGUUAUCCUUAUCGUUAAAUUAAAUUGUAUUUGAGAACAUGACCACAAAUCACAUUAAAUCAUACCAUAAUGACAUGCAGACA